rnacentral:rRNA from 1 species
CACUACAGCCAUGCUACACUGAACAAGCCUGAUCCCAUCUGAUCUCGGAAACUAAGCAGGGUCAGACCUGGUUAGUACUUGGAUGGGAGACUACCUAGGAAGACCAGGUGCUGUAGGCG